UACAGAGACUGCGAGCGUUAUUCGGAUUCACUGGGCGUAAAGGGUGCGCAGGCGGCCAAGUGUGUGAGGCGUGAAAGCCUGGGGCUUAACUCCAGAAUUGCACCUCAAACUACAUGGCUAGAGCAUUGGAGAGGGUAGCAGAAUUCACGGUGUAGCAGUGAAAUGCGUAGAUAUCGUGAGGAAUACCAGAGGCGAAGGCGGCUACCUGGACAAUUGCUGACGCUCAGGCACGAAAGCGUGGGGAGCAAACAGG
rnacentral:rRNA from 1 species